UUUUAUUAGGAUCGUCUGUUAAAGAAUUCACUUUUUCUUAAAUUUUCUUUCUAAUAAUGAUGGAGAGUCAAUCUCUUGGAGC
rnacentral:rRNA from 1 species